GCCUAGUUUGGUAGCACAUAUACUAAAACUGGAACAAUACUGAGAAGAUUAGCAUGGCCCCUGUGCAAGGAUGACAUGCAAAUUUGUAAAAUGUUCCAUAUUAAA